UGACAGCAGGUAUGGGGUAUUUGAGCAGAUGGUUGUUACAUAAACAGAAGUGAGAGAAAGAAUGUACGCGUGUGUGUGUGUGUGUGUGUGUGUUUGUGUGUGUGUGUGUGAUUGUGUUUGAGAGAGAGAUAAGACAGAAAAAACACAGUUUGGAUGAAAAGAGAAGACAUCAGACUGGGAGAAGGGGAAGAUAAUGAUGGGCUAGUGUAGUCACAGUCAAUAGCGACUAAGAGGCGUCCGUAAACUACCUAUGUGCCACUUCCUGGGCCAAAAUAUGAAUAUUCUUAUUUCAUCUGACCUGACCUGGACACCGGCUACACCUAUAUAUUGGCGGUCACAUCGCCACCGGACAGAAGUUAAAGAUAUUUCUGUACUACUAUAUUGCUAUACUGCUACAAGGACAGCUACAAGUCAAAGGGCCUCCGCCCUGUUAGUCGAAAGUGAAUCAAGAAGCUAAAAGGAACAAACGCUCCACCAUGCUCCGCCACCUGAUCGUUAUUGCCUGCGUCUGUGCGGCAAUGGUGGCGUCGGAACAGCUCCCACAGUGCGAGUUCGAUAUGACAGAAGAUGGCGACUAUCUCUGCUGUAACUACGUGAAACACGAAGAUACCCCCUGCAGCUGCAAGCCGUCAAACUUCCCGGAAGACAAACGCUUGCCAAUCUGCGGUACCUUAGACGCAGCAAAGGACAAAUACUGCAAAACCAUACCGAAUAUGUGCGGGCCACGUAAAUACUUCAGCUGCUGCGACCAAAAGGACGACUGCGAAUGCCCACCCACCGAAUCAGGCAUUUACUUCAUUUGUAACAACUGCCAAAUAAAGUUUUGAAAAUGAGCAAGAAGGACUUUAAAGAAUUUAUGCUCUUGGGGAAUCUUUUAUAACAUUCUAACAUGUAAUUCGUUAAUCCUUAAAUGACAGUAAAUACCUGUACUAACUUGUAUUUUAAAAUUUAUAAAUUUAUUGUAACCUUGUUUACUACUGCAGUAGUCUUCACAUACAAUCAGAACAGGCAACCAGUUAUUUUUACAAAA